GUCGGGAAAGUUUUUUCGCUAAGAGAUCAGUCUAUGUCCCAUCAGUUUGUUGGUGAGGUAAUGGCUCACCAAGACUAUGACGGGUAUCUGGUUUGAGAGGAUGAUCAGACACACUGGAACUGAGACACGGUCCAGACUCCUACGGGAGGCAGCAGUGAGGAAUAUUGCACAAUGGAGGAAACUCUGAUGCAGCAACGCCGCGUGGAGGAUGACGCAUUUCGGUGUGUAAACUCCUUUUAAGAGGGAAGAUAAUGACGGUACCUCUUGAAUAAGCACCGGCUAACUCCGUGCCAGCAGCCGCGGUAAUACGGAGGGUGCAAGCGUUACUCGGAAUCACUGGGCGUAAAGGGUGCGUAGGCUGGCUUCUAAGUCAGAUGUGAAAUCCAAUGGCUCAACCAUUGAACUGCAUUUGAAACUGGGAGCCUAGAGUUCAGAAGGGGCAGAUGGAAUUAGUGGUGUAGGGGUAAAAUCCGUAGAUAUCACUAGGAAUAUCAAAAGCGAAGGCGAUCUGCUGGGAUGAUACUGACGCUGAGGCACGAAAGCGUGGGGAGCAAACAGGAUUAGAUACCCUGGUAGUCCACGCCCUAAACGAUGAAUGCUAGUCGUCGGGGAGCUCGUCUCUUCGGUGAUGCACUUAACAGAUUAAGCAUUCCGCCUGGGGAGUACGGUCGCAAGAUUAAAACUCAAAGGAAUAGACGGGGACCCGCACAAGUGGUGGAGCAUGUGGUUUAAUUCGAAGAUACACGAAGAACCUUACCUGGCCUUGACAUGGUAGGAACCCUUAAGAGAUUAGGGGGUGCUAGCUUGCUAGAACCUACACACAGGUGCUGCACGGCUGUCGUCAGCUCGUGUCGUGAGAUGUUGGGUUAAGUCCCGCAACGAGCGCAACCCUCGUCCUUAGUUGCUAACAGUUUGGCUGAGCACUCUAGGGAGACUGCCUUCGUAAGGAGGAGGAAGGUGAGGACGACGUCAAGUCAUCAUGGCCCUUACGGCCAGGGCUACACACGUGCUACAAUGGGGCGUACAGAGAGCUGC
rnacentral:rRNA from 1 species